UCUUGUUUGUUUGUUUGUUGGGAGUUUAUUCGCUUUGGGCUCCUGCCAUCCCCCCAGAUCUAUUUUACUAGUUCUAAUGGGACUAACUUUAACUCAUGACAGCCUUACAGGAGGGGAAAUGGCAGCUGGUCACUUGAACCAUGACCUCCCAGAUUUGACAGAAACUGAAUCCGAUAUGUGUUUUGCUUUUGGCUACUAAUUUAUUGACCUAUUUCUCAUUUCCAAGCUGUGAGCGAUUGAUGAAAUAUACAACUAAUCGUUUAUUUAUCCAAGAAAAGCGAAAAUCCAACCAUGUAUCUCCACGGAUUGAUGGGACGGGAGCUGAGAUAUCAGCCAGGACGCUGAACCUGUUGUUAGGGAUAGUUCAUAUUAGGACUUUGUCAUAGAAAAACAGAUAAGGAAGAUCAACAUGUAACCACCGAUUUAUUAGAUGUACUGCAUCACAACAAAAAAAAAAAAAAAAAAAAAAAAAAAAAAAAGGGAGAGAGAAAAAGUAAAAAAGGAAACAAAAAUCCAAAUCUGCGACUGUUGCCUCUGCCGAGGCAAGCACAAACAGCAUUAAGCAUCUAAAAGAUCACUCACUUAAUUCCAAUUUGAUGAUCAACCCAGGGGCAUAAUCGUGAAAUUAACUACCUCACAACUUACUGCUGCAAUUGAGGCAACAUCUUUAUCCAGAACCUACUAGUUUUACAUGUUCGAUCCUCCAUUUCCGUUACGCAUACCGGAAAGGAAUCAACAAAAGGGGCACGUUUUGAAGGGAGACUUCUUAAAUCUAAUGGAGAGGAAUGAUUUGAUUUAUCAGAAAAUAGCUAAAAUAACAACAAGGGGUUGAUAUCGAAAAUCAAACAAGCUAUGGAAACAGGAGAAGACCAGUGUGGGAUAGUAUACGUCAUCGAAACCAAAAUAAUAUAUAACAUAAAAAUGGAGGGAAGAAAAAAGCACUCCUCCCGCCGUAUUCCAUAUAACAGCUACAACUGCGCCGGCAUCCUAUUUCCCAUCUCCGUCACAUCAAUCUUCUAAGCUGCAACCUCAGCCCCUUCCAACAAAUCACGAUCCGCAUCACGCGCGGAGGAUCUUCCGCCGCCAGGCCUUGUCGGGCCAUGUCCGCUUCUGCUAUCGUCAUACAUCCCAUCGUCCUCUUCAUCGUCAUCAUCAUCCGGUCGCCCGGCAUGUGCAUUCUCCUCCAACUCUCGUUGAGCUUCAUCCAUCUUCUUGCGUACUUCUGCUGCCAUGCGCAUCCCAUCGGACACUAUAUUGUCCAGGACGCCGCGUAGGCCCUUGUGGCCUGGUGGAACUAUGCCGCCAGAGGCUCCCGCGACGGUGGCGCCGAUGCUUGACACCGUACCGGCACCAUAACGUCUAGCGCCGAGGUUGGUGAAUGUUGUGAGGUUAGAAGAAAGUGAGUUGUUGCGGAGGGAGGCCGUGUCGGCCGUGUCGGAGAGGUGGAAAGAUUGAGGGAAAAAGGACUCGAAGAAUUGUUCGAGGAGUUCGUCGGCGAGGAUUACCAUGCGGAAAGUCGGGAUGGUGAUGUGUAGUGGGUGGGCAGGAUCGAGGGCGAGGUUUGCAGAUUCGGAAGCUUGUUUGUGGUUUGUACUGGUUUGUAAGGGGGCAGUGGAUUUUUGCGGUGAAGAUGAGGGGUUAUUGGAAUGUGAAUUCGCUUGAUUUUUAUUGGCGACAUCCGUAUCUUCUAAGUCUAUAAGGUCUCCAUCAUUGUCUUCGUCGUCUCCAAUGGCAAAUGCGUCUACCUUGCUCUCUAUCUCACUUGUUGAUUUCUCCUGGUUCGAUGGAUGACUGGGAUCCGCGUACUCAAAGCACCGGCGUAUGAAGUCGCUAACACUUCCUAGAAAUUUCUCUUCAGUACUUAAGGUUGUGUUACCCCCAAGCCCCUUCUCCACGGACAUUACAGCGUUAUUAGUUUCUGCCGCGUCACUCGAAACCAAAGUACCAUCGAAUCCUCUUCUUGAAAGGAAGAGUAACGCUUCUGACAUCCUAAGGAUGCCUUCCCUAUCAACUUGGCCAGUCCCACUAUCAUCGUACAGCUCGAAAAAGUAGUUGAUCGUAUUCAUGAUAUCCCUAGAUCCUUUUAUGCGAACCAUCCCGUUCACAACAUUUUGAAGGCUUAGACCUUGAACUUUAUCGACAUCCCAGUUGCGGAACAGUCGCCUCAUGAACUCGUGGUCGGCGGCCCGUGUGGCACCGUUAACAUCAAAGGAUUUGCUCCGUCCUCUGAUACUUGCAUUUGAAUAAGUACCCCGCUCGGUUGGGGAAAUACUUUGGCGCGCUGG
rnacentral:sRNA from 1 species